UAUAAGCAAUCUAUACUGUGAAACUGCGAAUGGCUCAUUAAAUCAGUUAUCGUUUAUUUGAUAGUACCUUACUACUUGGAUAACCGUGGUAAUUCUAGAGCUAAUACAUGCUAAAAACCCCGACUUCGGAAGGGGUGUAUUUAUUAGAUAAAAAACCAAUGCCCUUCGGGGCUCCUUGGUGAUUCAUGAUAACUUAACGAAUCGCAUGGCCUUGCGCCGGCGAUGGUUCAUUCAAAUUUCUGCCCUAUCAACUUUCGAUGGUAGGAUAGUGGCCUACCAUGGUAUCAACGGGUAACGGGGAAUUAGGGUUCUAUUCCGGAGAGGGAGCCUGAGAAACGGCUACCACAUCCAAGGAAGGCAGCAGGCGCGCAAAUUACCCAAUCCCGACACGGGGAGGUAGUGACAAUAAAUACUGAUACAGGGCUCUUUUGGGUCUUGUAAUUGGAAUGAGUACAAUUUAAAUACCUUAACGAGGAACAAUUGGAGGGCAAGUCUGGUGCCAGCAGCCGCGGUAAUUCCAGCUCCAAUAGCGUAUAUUAAAGUUGUUGCAGUUAAAAAGCUCGUAGUUGAACCUUGGGCCUGGCUGGCCGGUCCGCCUCACCGCGUGUACUGGUCCGGCCGGGCCUUUCCUUCUGGGGAUCCUCAUGCCCUUCACUGGGCGUGCUGGGGAACCAGGACUUUUACUUUGAAAAAAUUAGAGUGUUCAAAGCAGGCCUUUGCUCGAAUACAUUAGCAUGGAAUAAUAGAAUAGGACGUGCGGUCCUAUUUUGUUGGUUUCUAGGACCGCCGUAAUGAUUAAUAGGGAUAGUCGGGGGCAUCAGUAUUCAAUUGUCAGAGGUGAAAUUCUUGGAUUUAUUGAAGACUAACUACUGCGAAAGCAUUUGCCAAGGAUGUUUUCAUUAAUCAGUGAACGAAAGUUAGGGGAUCGAAGACGAUCAGAUACCGUCGUAGUCUUAACCGUAAACUAUGCCGACUAGGGAUCGGGCGAUGUUAUUCUUUUGACUCGCUCGGCACCUUACGAGAAAUCAAAGUCUUUGGGUUCU
rnacentral:rRNA from 1 species